rnacentral:pre_miRNA from 14 species
CUCACUGUAAAACAGAAAAUGAAAGAUCCCUGAAGGGAGACCGUUACUCAAGUCUCGGGAAGUCGAUGACCCCAGACACAUGAGAGACC